GUAAUCUUACACUACAGUUCGUGUGACAGUUUAAAUAGUUUGUUGUGCCAGUUACCAUAGUUUGUUUAUUGGAAAUUUAACCUUCAAACCAACUUGAGUUGUAUCUGUUUUGAUAGUGGUAGAGUCAGUGCUACAUGAACUUGCUUAUGACAGCGGACCACGUUAGAUGGGCUUAAUUUGUUCAGCUUCUUAAUUUAGCCGACAGUGCUUGUAAAACACUUUCAGUAAAAUGAAUACCUUUUCACAAUCCUCCAUUGACAAGGGAUCUGAUAUUUUCGUAGACUUCAUGUGCUCGACCUGCGAAGACAAGAAACUGAAUAAUACAGCUGAUUUCUACUGUGAAUCAUGUGUUAAGUUUUACUGCGGAAAAUGUAUUUGCAUGCACAGCCAGUUGUUUACAAAACAUGUCCCCUUUGGAAGGGGAGAUAUGAAGAAAUGGCCAGUGUCCAAGAAGGUGGAAGAUUUUCUUCUAAAAUGUGAUGUCCAUAAAGACAAAAACCUUGAAAUGUUUUGUUCUGAACAUAGUGAGAUGUGCUGCACAAAUUGUGCAUUCCUUAAUCACAGACACUGCCAAAAGGUAACUCUUAUAUCUGACAUUGUAACAAGUCAGUUUUCAGACCUUAAACAUCUGUCAGUUUCUAUCCAAUCUAUUCUGAAAGAAAUGAAGGACCUUCAAGACAACCAGGAGGCUAGCAUUCAUUAUGUGCAAAGUUCAUAUGAUGAGCAGUUAAGCAGGAUACAAAAAGCUCGCAGAGAAAUAAAUGAAACCUUAGACACGAUUGAACAGAAAACACUGAAGGAAAUGAAAGAUACUCUAACCAAGCUGCAGGCCUCUACCAAAAGUGAAGCUGACAAAUGCAUCAGGCUUAGGGAUGAAUUGAAACAACUUCGAGACGCCAUACAGGACAUUAGUGAUAAAAACAAGCUGGAACUUUCCUUUAUAGCCACCAGGAAAUGCGAGGACAAAAUAGAACAGUCCAGAACUUUUCUGAACACGAACUCUCUUCAGGAUAAAUUCUAUAUAACAUUCCAGCCUAACAGUGAAAUUGUACAGUACUUGUCCAAGCUGUCUGGUCUUGGGAGGAUAGAACACAGUACCAAGACAUUGAGGGUACAAGAGAAGCCAAACAAGGUAAUCACUGUGCUGAGGAAGUCUGAAAACAAUGUGAAAAUAUCAAGUGAUUCAAAGGAAUGCGGGAUCACAGGCAUCCUUGUCCUCCCAGACAGACAGGUCCUGGUUGUAGACACCAAUAAUAAUAAUAUCAAGCUUCUUGACCAGCAGUACCAGGUGGUAAGUCACUGUAGUAUGACUAAGUGUCCCUUUGAUAUAUGUCAGAUCACAUCGAGUGAGGUGGCUGUGACUGUGAAUGAUGAUGUUAAGAACAACAUACAUGAGGUCCAGUUUAUCACAGUCAACAACAGGCAGCUGGUGCAAGGAAGAAAGCUUCAGUUACUACAUAGAUGUAACGGUAUUGCCUUCCACCAGGAAGACCUGUAUAUUACUUCUGAUACUGCUCUGUUCAAGUAUACACUGAAUGGGAAACUUGUCAGCAAGAUGUAUGAGGAUACAUCACAUGAUUAUACAGUAAUGAAUUGUGCUGUGAGUCCCACAGGGAACAAGUUGUACAUCACACAAUUCCACCAGCACAAGCUCCUCAUCCUGGCCAGGGAUGGUUCAGUCCUGGCCACCUUCACUGACCCUGCACUACAAUACCCACGUGGUGUACACGUGACACCUGCAGGACAGGUGCUCGUUUGUGGAGGCAUAUGGCCCGAUCCCUUCAUCCUACAGGUGGACAGUGAGGGCAAAAGGAAGCUGGCUACUCUUGGUAAUCUGGCUACUCUUGGUAUGGAGAAGAAUUGUAAGCUGAACCCAGCAUCCCUCUGCUACAACAGACACACUGUCUCCAUCAUUGUUGGACUUGAUUACAACAGCAUCAUGGUGUUCAACGUGCAAUAGGUUAAUUCUACAUGUAAAUAUGAUUUUUUAUACAGAUGAAUUAAAUUGCAAUUGAAUUGUGUUGUUGUGUUACUAAAACAUUGUAAGUGAUUUCAAGAUGCAUUUAUUUUGUAAAAAAAUAAUGUCACAAGUUCAAAGAAUGUUUAGAGUUUCUGUGAACAAAAGAACUGCUAAAUAGUGUAUAAUAGUGUUACAUCUAUUCAAAUUGCUUUUGUAUUCCUCAUUUACUUUACAAGUUGACAAAAAAUGCUGGUGAAAAAAACGCAAUCAAAUUAAGUUCCGAAUAUAGUAAUAUAGUGUCUGUUAUUUACAUAACAUCAACAUUACACUGUAACUAUGUAUAUAGGCUGUCAUUUCUUUAAUAUACACAACAAAUGUAUUGAAGAUAGCAUUGAAUUUUUGUUUUUGAUUUUAAUAUAUGAUGAUUUUUUUCCUGCACUGACAACAUGUUUCUUGGUAAUUUAUAAUAACUAAUUUAGCGUAGCUGUGUGACCCAGGUUUUGAUCAACAUUAAUAUCAAAGAAAUGUUGAGAAUGUUUUCAAUCAUGAAACCUGAAUGGAUAAAUCGCCCCAUUGGUGCAAAACGGUACCAUGUGACAUUUAAUAAAAAAGCGACAUGGUAUCUUUUUGCACUAAUGGGUAAAAAUGAUAAUUCAGCAUGUGCUAGCAUGAAACAUAUAGAAAUGCAACAUUGCGUUUUGCAAUAAUGUAAACCAACCCAUGAUGCUGGGUGGAAAGGGUUCUUAAAAUACAGCACAAGAGAUCUGCGAUCAGAGACAAAUGACCCCUAAACAGAGCCUUGACACAUGAUUAUUUGCAACACAGUGUUUACAAACACAAAUAAUACAUAUAUGCAAUGGCUACAAACUAGGAUUAUCCACAGAAUAUUGGGAACAAACUGCCUUUUUUAAAUGGGCUUGUCAGAUAGUAAUACAUGCACUUUUUGCAAAAUGUCAGACGAAUCAAUUACCCAUUUAUUCUGGGAAUGUAAUGCCGUACAAAAACUCAUAAAAGACAUCUCUGAAAUCUUAAAAAAUGCAAAUAUUCAAUACUUUAUUCAUUUCAAGGAGGAAAGUACAUUUUUGAGUGCAAAAGGAAAUAAGUUAUCCCAAAUUUUCAGGGAAUUAAGGCUAGACUAAGAUUUGCUUUAAAUGUUAAUGCAAACACAACAAGUCAAUCAAAUAAAGGAGUUUUUUUAUGUUUUAAGACUAAUAUGUAAUUCAUAAUUUUAUUAAUUCCAAAAUAAGUGUUGUCAACCAAGCAACUCCCAUUAUAUAUGUAAUAUGUUAUAUAUGUUAUUGUAAAUUGCACUAAAACAUGCUGUUUACUUAGCAACCAUCAUAAUGUAUGUAACUUUCAAAUUGUAAUUGCUUGCAUUAAGUUAUUUUUGUAUUCUAAAUUGCAAUUGAUUGUAUUGUAAAAAAUGCACUUUAUAUGUAAAAUCACAUGUUUGUUCAUAAUGUCCAUUAUAAAUACAUGAAUAACUAGCAAAUCUUACAGUAUACAGUUUUAUGUUAUAUGAACACUGUAAUCAUAGAUGUAAAUUGAAGGGUAGUUGUAAUGUUGAAUUUUUUUUUGUUAAGACGGGAGAUAUCGAUGUAAGACUUUCGAAAGACACACCGCCCAAUGAUUGUGAACAAUUGUAACUAGUAAUUUUAAAAUCUCACAAUGAAUGACAUAGUUAUGGCCUGGAAAAGAUCAUUUAUUGGCAUUUUUCACCUUUGAACUCACAGUGUGAGCUUGACGUUGCAGAUAUCGACACAAUUCUUUCGCAUGACACACCGUCCAAUGAUGGUGAACACAUGCGCCAAAUGAUUUUCAAUUUUCCCAAUGAACUGAAUAGUUAUGGCCCGGACAAGCUUAAUAAUGGCCAUUUUUUACCUUUGAAUUCGAAGUGUUACCUCGACCUUGGAGAUAUCGACGUAAGUCUUUCGCAUGACACACCGUCCAAUGAUGGUAAACACAUGUGCAAAAGGAUUUUAAAAUCUCACAAUGAACGACAUAGUUAUGGCCCGGACAAGCUUAUUUAUGGACAUUUUUGAAUUUUGAACUUAAAGUGUGACCUUGAACUUGGAGAUAUCGACGUAAUUCUUUUGCACGACACACCGUCCAAUGAUGGUGAACAAAUGUGCCAAAUGAUUAAAAUCUCACAAUGAACGACAUAGUUAUGGUCUGGGCAAGCUAAUUUAUGACCAUAUAUGAAUUUUGAACUCCAAGUGUGACCUUGACCUUUGAUAUACAUGUAUCUACGUUAUUCUUUUGUACGACACACCGUCCAAUGAUUGUGAACAAAUGUGCCAAAUGAUUUUAAAAUCUCACAAUAAACGACAUAGUUAUGGCCCUGACAAGCUUAUUUAUGGCUUUUUUUAAAUUUUGAACUCCAAGUGUGACCUUGGCCUUGGAGACAUUGACUUAAUUCUUUUUCACGACACACCGUCCAAUUAUGGUGAACAAAUGUACCAAAUGAUUGUAAAAUCUCACAAUGAACAACAUAGUUAUGGCCCGGACAAGCUUUUCCGCCUGAACGGCCGUUAGCCCGCCGACAUUCACCAAUCUAAUAACUAGUUUUCCUUAGAAAAUCCUGGUUAAAAAAAUCUACACAUUAUUGUUUGUCAGGAGCACGAUAAUUAUUGCAUAUGCCAAAUAGUUUGGUAAAUAUAUUGUAUCACAUGUUAUACCCUGUUUCCCAUGUAA